GACGAACGCUGGCGGCGUGCCUAAUACAUGCAAGUCGAGCGGGCCUCCGGAGGUGCUUGCACCUCCGGAAGGCCAGCGGCGGACGGGUGAGUAACACGUGGGCAACCUGCCUUUGAGGCCGGGAUAACACCGGGAAACCGGUGCUAAUACCGGAUACGUCCUCUUUCGCGCCUGCGAGAGGGGAGAAAGACGGUCUUUAAGGCCGUCGCUCAAAGAGGGGCCCGCGGCGCAUUAGCUGGUUGGUGGGGUAAGGGCCUACCAAGGCGACGAUGCGUUGCCGACCUGAGAGGGUGAUCGGCCACACUGGGACUGAGACACGGCCCAGACUCCUGCGGGAGGCAGCAGUAGGGAAUCAUCCGCAAUGGGCGAAAGCCUGACGGUGCAACGCCGCGUGAGUGAGGAAGGUUUUCGGAUCGUAAAGCUCUGUUGUGAGGGAAGAACAGCUUCCGGAGGAAAUGCCGGAGGUUUGCCGGUACCUCACCAGAAAGCCCCAGCUAACUACGUGCCAGCAGCCGCCGUAA
rnacentral:rRNA from 1 species